rnacentral:misc_RNA from 1 species
GAUGAAGAACGUAGCGAAAUGCGAUAAUUAAUGUGAAUUGCAGAAUUCCGUGAAUCAUCGAGUCUUUGAACGCACAUUGCGCCUCAUGGCAUUCCGUGAGGCAUGCCCAUCUCAGCGUUAGAAAAUAUUCUCAAAUUUUAGUUUUGUGCUAAAAUUUGGAUCAUGUCAAGGAAGCUAUUACUAUUAUUGUGAUCGCUCUUUGGAAAUUGAUAGGUCUUUGAGUUGCUACUCAUAGAACGUGAUGAAUCUUUCUUCGUGCUAUUGUAAUUCACUCUGGUAGUCCUAAAAGUUGUAUGCCUGUGGCAUAUCUUGUAAUUUGACCUGAGAUUGGGUAGGGAUACCCGCUGAACUUAAGCAUAUCAAUAAGCGGAGGA